ACCACUUUGUGAUUCAUGACUGGGGUGAAGUCGUAACAAGGUAACCGUAGGGGAACCUGCGGUUGGAUCACCUCCUUACCUGAAA
rnacentral:rRNA from 1 species